UACGUAGGGGGCGAGCGUUGUCCGGAAUUAUUGGGCGUAAAGAGCGUGUAGGCGGUUCGGUAAGUCUGCCGUGAAAACCUGGGGCUCAACCCCGGGCGUGCGGUGGAUACUGCCGGGCUAGAGGGUGGUAGAGGCGAGUGGAAUUCCCGGUGUAGCGGUGAAAUGCGCAGAUAUCGGGAGGAACACCAGUAGCGAAGGCGACUCGCUGGGCCAUUCCUGACGCUGAGACGCGAAAGCUAGGGGAGCGAACAGGGUA
rnacentral:rRNA from 1 species